GUGGCUGAGGGCGCUGCGCGUUGUUGGGGUGAGAGCUGCCCGGAGGGUACGAGCUGCGCUAAGAUCGCGCACAACCCUCCUGCUUCGGCUGUGACGUCUUUUGAGGCAGUUCCCGCUCUUCUGUCAGAACUCGCUGCCCUACAAAAGGCUGUGGGAGGCAGCGGGGAAUGUUUUAAAGAGAUUUUUCUGUCAGGUUUCUUUCAUCUGGGCCAAGGAACUGAUGAAGCUGAUGGCUUGGCUGCAAGUACGUUAACAUCAGUGAAAGGGGCAUGGAGGAGCUACCAGGGAAGAAGUAUUUCUUAGCCUUACACUUAAACUGAACACAACAUCAGGAACUUCUGGAACCAGCACCGAACUUUUUCCGCAAGUGCUGCUAGACCCAUUUUGUAGAUGAAGAAAUUGGAACAUCACAAUUUGAUGACAUGCACGUUAUUAUCCAGGAGGCACCUGACAUACCUGAGAAUGGAACCUGGGUGGAUUACGGUCCCUCUUCUUGUCCCUUAAUUGCCAGAUUUAUUUUGCGUUUACUAUGCAUCUGUAUAUGGAAUAGUGUUGCUAUUUGCCAUAAGUCUGAGCUAGCAUUCAGAUUAGAACAGUGGAGUACCCUAAAAUGCACAGUGCUUUAGAGGAAGUGCAGAUACUGACAAAACUCAGAAAAUAUUUGAUGCUGGCAGUGCUUACUUUCUUGACUUAAUGCCUCCUUUUGUAUGCAUGAAGCUUAGUCUCCACUUUGUAGGAUACUACUCCAUGGAUUUGCAAUGCUUCUUUGUUGUUGUUGUUUGCUUUUGUUUGUUUGUUUCUUCUUUCUAAAAUCACCGUGGUUGUGUCUGUUCUUGAAGUCUGAAUUUUGUCUUCUACUAUCAAAGAGAGCCUUUAAUAACCAAGUAGAUAUCAGAGUGUAUUUUGUCUAGCAUUUAGCUCAACAUUGCAUUUGAGUGGGCAUUCACUGCAGCUGCUUCUCAGUUUAACUUAGUGGGGCUUCUAAAGGAAUGUCUUGUUCUCGUGCCAUAUUUGUCGUGCUCUUUUUUUGUAAUUUAUUUACUUUGGAGAACUGAACCAGACUUAUGCAUCUGAUUCUCAAUGAGGUUUUGUGUGUGUGUGUGUUUUGACCAUGUAUUACAGCUGGUUUCAUUACAGAACACAACAGUUAAGUGAUUAGCCCAAGGUGACUCAGUGAAUCACUCAGCCUUCCCAAAACCUUGAAGUCUUCCGGCCCCUUGUCUUUUAAGCUAGUCUAGCUUCUAAAUCAUAUUGGCUCCCAAAUGAAACAGAACUUGAGAACUUGAAGUCACUUUUCAUACUGUCUCACUGUCUAUCUUAUGUGGGAAAAUGUCUGUGAAACUCCUGCUGAGGAAUCUUACACAUUUUUUUUGAAUGAAGUGAAAUAAAGCUUUU
rnacentral:lncRNA from 7 species